GGGGAUGUAGCUCAACUGGUUAGAGCACCGGCCUGUCACGCCGGAGGUUGCGGGUUCGAGCCCCGUCGUCCUCG
rnacentral:tRNA from 1 species